rnacentral:rRNA from 1 species
AUUGAACGCUAGCGGCGUGCCUAACACAUGCAAGUCGAGCGAGAAAGGGCUUCGGCCUCAGUAAAGCGGCGCACGGGUGAGUAACACGUGGGUAACGUACCCUCGGGUGGGGAAUAACGGGCCGAAAGGCUCGCUAAUACCGCAUAAGACCACGACCUUCGCGGAGGUUGAGGCCAAAGGGGCGCAAGUCCCGCCUGAGGAUCGGCUCGCGGUCCAUUAGCUAGUUGGGAGGGUAAUGGCCUACCAAGGCGACGAUGGAUAGCUGGUCUGAGGGGACGAUCAGCCACACUGGCACGGAAGCACGGUCCAGACUCCUACGGGAGGCAGCAGUGGGGAAUAUUGCGCAAUGGGCGAAGGCCUGACGCAGCAACGCCGCGUGAGUGAAGAAGGCCUUCGGGUUGUAAACCUCUUUCAGUACCGACGAAGCGCCGAUGAUGGUGGUGACGGUAGGUACAGAAGAAGCACCGGCCAACUACGUGCCAGCAGCCGCCGUAACAC